UGAAAGUAUCAGGGACUCGUGGUCCUGCUCCAGCUGCUCUUCCAGAAAAUGCUCAACCCAAACACGUCUCGUCCACCAGCACAGAUCGGCUUUGGCAGCCCCGUCACCAAACGCUCCGUGCCACGCCCGGUGGGCCGAGGAGGUGCCUUUCACCAGCCAGAAACACAAAAUAACAGUUUAGUGGUGAAAUGUUGACCGUUCUGCUCAGUGAAGCUCCCAGCUGCUUGCUGACUGCUGCUCAGAAGGGCCCAUGAAGUGUAAAAUGUGUAUUCCAGCUGAAGUCUCCUCUCCGUUUCCUCUGGGACCUGCUGUCUGGGAGCCUGUUUUGUACAUAAAGUAUCUCCACGACUGUUGGAAUGUACUCAGUUGUCUGCGGACUUGUCUCAAGUGCCUGAGCUUU